rnacentral:ncRNA from 1 species
UCAAAAAAUUUAUAAGGAGUUCAUAUAACCGCGGAAAUAUGGUCCGCAAGUUUCUACCGGGCUACCGUAAAUGGCCUGACUAUGAGCGAAAGUGUACCUAGGG